UACAGAGGGGGCAAGCGUUGUUCGGAAUUACUGGGCGUAAAGGGCGCGUAGGCGGCCUGCUAAGUCGAACGUGAAAUCCCUGGGCUCAACCCAGGAACUGCGUCCGAUACUGGUUGGCUUGAAUCCGGGAGAGGGAUGCGGAAUUCCAGGUGUAGCGGUGAAAUGCGUAGAUAUCUGGAGGAACACCGGUGGCGAAGGCGGCAUCCUGGACCGGCAUUGACGCUGAGGCGCGAAAGCUAGGGUAGCAAACGGG
rnacentral:rRNA from 1 species